rfam:Medicago truncatula strain A17 chromosome 8, whole genome shotgun sequence.
UCUUGCAAAUAUGAAAUAAUUUGUUUUGGUCCUUGGUGUUUUGUUUUAGUCCCUGUAAAAUCCAUUCAUAAUGAAAUUGGUCCCUAUAAUAUUUAUUUUAGUUCUUAUUUUGAGGGACUAAAAUCAAAUAUUCUACAUGUUACAAGGACCAAAUCCAAUGUGAAAACAUUUUGCAAGGACUAAAACUAAAUAAAAAGGAUUAAAAGCAAAAAAUUAUAUAUUUGCACGAA